GCAGUCGAACGAACUCUGGUAUUGAUUGGUGCUUGCAUCAUGAUUUACAUUUGAGUGAGUGGCGAACUGGUGAGUAACACGUGGGAAACCUGCCCAGAAGCGGGGGAUAACACCUGGAAACAGAUGCUAAUACCGCAUAACAACUUGGACCGCAUGGUCCGAGUUUGAAAGAUGGCUUCGGCUAUCACUUUUGGAUGGUCCCGCGGCGUAUUAGCUAGAUGGUGGGGUAACGGCUCACCAUGGCAAUGAUACGUAGCCGACCUGAGAGGGUAAUCGGCCACAUUGGGACUGAGACACGGCCCAAACUCCUACGGGAGGCAGCAGUAGGGAAUCUUCCACAAUGGACGAAAGUCUGAUGGAGCAACGCCGCGUGAGUGAAGAAGGGUUUCGGCUCGUAAAACUCUGUUGUUAAAGAAGAACAUAUCUGAGAGUAACUGUUCAGGUAUUGACGGUAUUUAACCAGAAAGCCACGGCUAACUACGUGCCAGCAGCCGCGGUAAUACGUAGGUGGCAAGCGUUGUCCGGAUUUAUUGGGCGUAAAGCGAGCGCAGGCGGUUUUUUAAGUCUGAUGUGAAAGCCUUCGGCUCAACCGAAGAAGUGCAUCGGAAACUGGGAAACUUGAGUGCAGAAGAGGACAGUGGAACUCCAUGUGUAGCGGUGAAAUGCGUAGAUAUAUGGAAGAACACCAGUGGCGAAGGCGGCUGUCUGGUCUGUAACUGACGCUGAGGCUCGAAAGUAUGGGUAGCAAACAGGAUUAGAUACCCUGGUAGUCCAUACCGUAAACGAUGAAUGCUAAGUGUUGGAGGGUUUCCGCCCUUCAGUGCUGCAGCUAACGCAUUAAGCAUUCCGCCUGGGGAGUACGGCCGCAAGGCUGAAACUCAAAGGAAUUGACGGGGGCCCGCACAAGCGGUGGAGCAUGUGGUUUAAUUCGAAGCUACGCGAAGAACCUUACCAGGUCUUGACAUACUAUGCAAAUCUAAGAGAUUAGACGUUCCCUUCGGGGACAUGGAUACAGGUGGUGCAUGGUUGUCGUCAGCUCGUGUCGUGAGAUGUUGGGUUAAGUCCCGCAACGAGCGCAACCCUUAUUAUCAGUUGCCAGCAUUAAGUUGGGCACUCUGGUGAGACUGCCGGUGACAAACCGGAGGAAGGUGGGGAUGACGUCAAAUCAUCAUGCCCCUUAUGACCUGGGCUACACACGUGCUACAAUGGAUGGUACAACGAGUUGCGAACUCGCGAGAGUAAGCUAAUCUCUUAAAGCCAUUCUCAGUUCGGAUUGUAGGCUGCAACUCGCCUACAUGAAGUCGGAAUCGCUAGUAAUCGCGGAUCAGCAUGCCGCGGUGAAUACGUUCCCGGGCCUUGUACACACCGCCCGUCACACCAUGAGAGUUUGUAACACCCAAAGUCGGUGGGGUAACC
rnacentral:rRNA from 2 species